rnacentral:rRNA from 1 species
UACGUAGGGUGCAAGCGUUAAUCGGAAUUACUGGGCGUAAAGCGUGCGCAGGCGGUUUUGUAAGUCUGUCGUGAAAUCCCCGGGCUCAACCUGGGAAUGGCGAUGGAGACUGCAAGGCUAGAGUUUGGCAGAGGGGGGUAGAAUUGCAGGUGUAGCGGUGGAAUGCGUAGAGAUCUGCAAGAAUACCCGUGGCGAAGGCGGCCAACUGGGCCGGUUCUGACGCUGAGGCGCGAAAGCGUGGGGAGCAAACAGG